UUUUUUUUUUUUUUUUUAAAUGCCUUUUUAAACUAUGGAGACGGGAGAUUUAAAAAAAAAAGAAGGGGG
rnacentral:ribozyme from 1 species